rnacentral:rRNA from 1 species
GUGGGGAAUUUUGGACAAUGGGCGAAAGCCUGAUCCAGCCAUGCCGCGUGCAGGAUGAAGGCCUUCGGGUUGUAAACUGCUUUUGUACGGAACGAAAAGACUCCUUCUAAUAAAGGGGGUCCAUGACGGUACCGUAAGAAUAAGCACCGGCUAACUACGUGCCAGCAGCCGCGGUAAUACGUAGGGUGCAAGCGUUAAUCGGAAUUACUGGGCGUAAAGCGUGCGCAGGCGGUUAUAUAAGACAGAUGUGAAAUCCCCGGGCUCAACCUGGGAACUGCCUUUGUGACUGCAUAGCUGGAGUGCGGCAGAGGGGGAUGGAAUUCCGCGUGUAGCAGUGAAAUGCGUAGAUAUGCGGAGGAACACCGAUGGCGAAGGCAAUCCCCUGGACCUGUACUGACGCUCAUGCACGAAAGCGUGGGGAGCAAACAGGAUUAGAAACCCUGGUAGUCC